rnacentral:rRNA from 1 species
UACGAAGGGGGCUAGCGUUGUUCGGAAUCACUGGGCGUAAAGGGCGCGUAGGCGGCUUUGUAAGUCGGGGGUGAAAGCCUGUGGCUCAACCACAGAAUUGCCUUCGAUACUGCAUGGCUUGAGACCGGAAGAGGUAAGUGGAACUGCGAGUGUAGAGGUGAAAUUCGUAGAUAUUCGCAAGAACACCAGUGGCGAAGGCGCUUACUGGUCCGGUUCUGACGCUGAGGCGGCGAAAAGCGUGGGGAGCAAACAGG